rnacentral:rRNA from 1 species
UUAAGCGACUAAGCGUACACGGUGGAUGCCCUGGCAGUCAGAGGCGAUGAAGGACGUGCUAAUCUGCGAUAAGCGUCGGUAAGGUGAUAUGAACCGUUAUAACCGGCGAUUUCCGAAUGGGGAAACCCAGUGUGAUUCGUCACACUAUCAUUAACUGAAUCCAUAGGUUAAUGAGGCGAACCGGGGGAACUGAAACAUCUAAGUACCCCGAGGAAAAGAAAUCAACCGAGAUUCCCCCAGUAGCGGCGAGCGAACGGGGAGCAGCCCAGAGCCUGAAUCAGUGUGUGUGUUAGUGGAAGCGUCUGGAAAGGCGCGCGAUACAGGGUGACAGCCCCGUACACAAAAAUGCACAUGCUGUGAGCUCGAUGAGUAGGGCGGGACACGUGGUAUCCUGUCUGAAUAUGGGGGGACCAUCCUCCAAGGCUAAAUACUCCUGACUGACCGAUAGUGAACCAGUACCGUGAGGGAAAGGCGAAAAGAACCCCGGCGAGGGGAGUGAAAAAGAACCUGAAACCGUGUACGUACAAGCAGUGGGAGCACAGAGCAAUCUGUGUGACUGCGUACCUUUUGUAUAAUGGGUCAGCGACUUAUAUUCUGUAGCAAGGUUAACCGAAUAGGGGAGCCGAAGGGAAACCGAGUCUUAACUGGGCGUUAAGUUGCAGGGUAUAGACCCGAAACCCGGUGAUCUAGCCAUGGGCAGGUUGAAGGUUGGGUAACACUAACUGGAGGACCGAACCGACUAAUGUUGAAAAAUUAGCGGAUGACUUGUGGCUGGGGGUGAAAGGCCAAUCAAACCGGGAGAUAGCUGGUUCUCCCCGAAAGCUAUUUAGGUAGCGCCUCGUGAAUUCAUCUCCGGGGGUAGAGCACUGUUUCGGCAAGGGGGUCAUCCCGACUUACCAACCCGAUGCAAACUGCGAAUACCGGAGAAUGUUAUCACGGGAGACACACGGCGGGUGCUAACGUCCGUCGUGAAGAGGGAAACAACCCAGACCGCCAGCUAAGGUCCCAAAGUCAUGGUUAAGUGGGAAACGAUGUGGGAAGGCCCAGACAGCCAGGAUGUUGGCUUAGAAGCAGCCAUCAUUUAAAGAAAGCGUAAUAGCUCACUGGUCGAGUCGGCCUGCGCGGAAGAUGUAACGGGGCUAAACCAUGCACCGAAGCUGCGGCAGCGACGCUGAUGCGUUGUUGGGUAGGGGAGCGUUCUGUAAGCCUGCGAAGGUGUGCUGUGAGGCAUGCUGGAGGUAUCAGAAGUGCGAAUGCUGACAUAAGUAACGAUAAAGCGGGUGAAAAGCCCGCUCGCCGGAAGACCAAGGGUUCCUGUCCAACGUUAAUCGGGGCAGGGUGAGUCGACCCCUAAGGCGAGGCCGAAAGGCGUAGUCGAUGGGAAACAGGUUAAUAUUCCUGUACUUGGUGUUACUGCGAAGGGGGGACGGAGAAGGCUAUGUUGGCCGGGCGACGGUCGUCCCGGUUUAAGCGUGUAGGCUGGUUUUCCAGGCAAAUCCGGAAAAUCAAGGCUGAGGCGUGAUGACGAGGCACUACGGUGCUGAAGCAACAAAUGCCCUGCUUCCAGGAAAAGCCUCUAAGCAUCAGGUAACAUCAAAUCGUACCCCAAACCGACACAGGUGGUCAGGUAGAGAAUACCAAGGCGCUUGAGAGAACUCGGGUGAAGGAACUAGGCAAAAUGGUGCCGUAACUUCGGGAGAAGGCACGCUGAUAUGUAGGUGAAGUCCCUCGCGGAUGGAGCUGAAAUCAGUCGAAGAUACCAGCUGGCUGCAACUGUUUAUUAAAAACACAGCACUGUGCAAACACGAAAGUGGACGUAUACGGUGUGACGCCUGCCCGGUGCCGGAAGGUUAAUUGAUGGGGUCAGCGCAAGCGAAGCUCUUGAUCGAAGCCCCGGUAAACGGCGGCCGUAACUAUAACGGUCCUAAGGUAGCGAAAUUCCUUGUCGGGUAAGUUCCGACCUGCACGAAUGGCGUAAUGAUGGCCAGGCUGUCUCCACCCGAGACUCAGUGAAAUUGAACUCGCUGUGAAGAUGCAGUGUACCCGCGGCAAGACGGAAAGACCCCGUGAACCUUUACUAUAGCUUGACACUGAACAUUGAGCCUUGAUGUGUAGGAUAGGUGGGAGGCUUUGAAGUGUGGACGCCAGUCUGCAUGGAGCCGGCCUUGAAAUACCACCCUUUAAUGUUUGAUGUUCUAACGUUGACCCGUAAUCCGGGUUGCGGACAGUGUCUGGUGGGUAGUUUGACUGGGGCGGUCUCCUCCUAAAGAGUAACGGAGGAGCACGAAGGUUGGCUAAUCCUGGUCGGACAUCAGGAGGUUAGUGCAAUGGCAUAAGCCAGCUUGACUGCGAGCGUGACGGCGCGAGCAGGUGCGAAAGCAGGUCAUAGUGAUCCGGUGGUUCUGAAUGGAAGGGCCAUCGCUCAACGGAUAAAAGGUACUCCGGGGAUAACAGGCUGAUACCGCCCAAGAGUUCAUAUCGACGGCGGUGUUUGGCACCUCGAUGUCGGCUCAUCACAUCCUGGGGCUGAAGUAGGUCCCAAGGGUAUGGCUGUUCGCCAUUUAAAGUGGUACGCGAGCUGGGUUUAGAACGUCGUGAGACAGUUCGGUCCCUAUCUGCCGUGGGCGCUGGAGAAUUGAGGGGGGCUGCUCCUAGUACGAGAGGACCGGAGUGGACGCAUCACUGGUGUUCGGGUUGUCAUGCCAAUGGCACUGCCCGGUAGCUAAAUGCGGAAGAGAUAAGUGCUGAAAGCAUCUAAGCACGAAACUUGCCCCGAGAUGAGUUCUCCCUGACUCCUUGAGAGUCCUGAAGGAACGUUGAAGACGACGACGUUGAUAGGCCGGGUGUGUAAGCGCAGCGAUGCGUUGAGCUAACCGGUACUAAUGAACCGUGAGGCUUAACCUU